UACGUAGGGGGCGAGCGUUGUCCGGAAUUAUUGGGCGUAAAGGGCUCGUAGGCGGUUUGUCGCGUCGGGAGUGAAAAUCCAGGGCUUAACUCUGGACUGGCUUCCGAUACGGGCAGACUAGAGGUAUGCAGGGGAGAACGGAAUUCCUGGUGUAGCGGUGAAAUGCGCAGAUAUCAGGAGGAACACCGGUGGCGAAGGCGGCUCACUGGCCCGGUACUGACGCUGAGGCGCGAAAGCGUGGGGAGCAAACAGG
rnacentral:rRNA from 1 species